rnacentral:rRNA from 1 species
GAUGAACGCUGGCGGCGUGCUUAACACAUGCAAGUCGAACGGAAAGGCCCAAGCUUGCUUGGGUACUCGAGUGGCGAACGGGUGAGUAACACGUGGGUGAUCUGCCCUGCACUUCGGGAUAAGCCUGGGAAACUGGGUCUAAUACCGGAUAGGACCACAUUUUGGAUGGUGUGGUGGAAAGUUUUUCGGUGUGGGAUGAGCUCGCGGCCUAUCAGCUUGUUGGUGGGGUAAUGGCCUACCAAGGCGUCGACGGGUAGCCGGACUGAGAGGGUGUACGGCCACAUUGGGACUGAGAUACGGCCCAGACUCCUACGGGAGGCAGCAGUGGGGAAUAUUGCACAAUGGGCGCAAGCCUGAUGCAGCGACGCCGCGUGGGGGAUGACGGCCUUCGGGUUGUAAACUCCUUUCGCUAGGGACGAAGCGUUUUUGUGACGGUACCUGGAGAAGAAGCACCGGCUAACUACGUG